rnacentral:rRNA from 1 species
GAUGAACGCUGGCGGCGUGCCUAAUACAUGCAAGUCGAGCGAACAGAUGAGGAGCUUGCUCCUCUGACGUUAGCGGCGGACGGGUGAGUAACACGUGGAUAACCUACCUAUAAGACUGGGAUAACUACGGGAAACCGGAGCUAAUACCGGAUAAUAUAUUGAAUCGCAUGGUUCAAUAGUGAAAGACGGUUUUGCUGUCACUUAUAGAUGGAUCCGCGCCGCAUUAGCUAGUUGGUAAGGUAACGGCUUACCAAGGCAACGAUGCGUAGCCGACCUGAGAGGGUGAUCGGCCACACUGGAACUGAGACACGGUCCAGACUCCUACGGGAGGCAGCAGUAGGGAAUCUUCCGCAAUGGGCGAAAGCCUGACGGAGCAACGCCGCGUGAGUGAUGAAGGUCUUCGGAUCGUAAAACUCUGUUAUUAGGGAAGAACAAAUGUGUAAGUAACUAUGCACGUCUUGACGGUACCUAAUCAGAAAGCCACGGCUAACUACGUG